AAUGCCGGAUGCUCCAGUUGAUCGCAUGGUCUUUUGGGAAAGCUUUCGCGGUAUGGGAUGGGGUCGCGUCCUAUCAGCUUGACGGCGGGGUAACGGCCCACCGUGGCUUCGACGGGUAGCCGGCCUGAGAGGGCGACCGGCCACAUUGGGACUGAGAUACGGCCCAGACUCCUACGGGAGGCAGCAGUGGGGAAUAUUGCACAAUGGGCGCAAGCCUGAUGCAGCGACGCCGCGUGAGGGAUGGAGGCCUUCGGGUUGUAAACCUCUUUUAUCGGGGAGCAAGCGAGAGUGAGUUUACCCGUUGAAUAAGCACCGGCUAACUACGUGCCAGCAGCCGCGGUAAUACGUAGGGUGCAAGCGUUAUCCGGAAUUAUUGGGCGUAAAGGGCUCGUAGGCGGUUCGUCGCGUCCGGUGUGAAAGUCCAUCGCUUAACGGUGGAUCCGCGCCGGGUACGGGCGGGCUUGAGUGCGGUAGGGGAGACUGGAAUUCCCGGUGUAACGGUGGAAUGUGUAGAUAUCGGAAA
rnacentral:rRNA from 1 species